GUUGCGUGCGAACAGGGGGGAUGGUCUAAUGAAACCGUUUAUUUGGAGGAAAUUUUUCGUUUCAUUAUUGUAACCAUUGGUUUCAUAGUACGAAAAGUUCUAAUUACCACAACGAAACAGAUGAUUAGGCACUACUGCGUAAAGUUUUUUGCAAUAAUUAACUGAUG